CAGUAGCCGCGGUAACACGUAGGGUGCGAGCGUUAAUCGGAAUUGCUGGGCGUAAAGCGUGCGCAGGCGGUUGUGUAAGACAGGUGUGAAAUCCCCGGGCUUAACCUGGGAACUGCGCUUGUGACUGCACAGCUAGAGUAUGGCAGAGGGGGGUGGAAUUCCACGUGUAGCAGUGAAAUGCGUAGAGAUGUGGAGGAACACCGAUGGCGAAGGCAGCCCCCUGGGCCAAUACUGACGCUCAUGCACGAAAGCGUGGGGAGCAAACAGGAUUAGAUACCCCUGUAGUCCCUGUCUCUUAUAC
rnacentral:rRNA from 1 species